UUGCUUCAGCAGCACAUAUACUAAAAUUGUAACAAUACAAAGAAAAUUAGCAUAGCCCCUGAGCAAGGAUGGAAUGCAAACUCAUUAAGUGUUUCAUAUUUAU